UACCGGGGGUGCAAGCGUUGCUCGGGAUUAUUGGGCGUAAAGCGCACGUAGGCGGUUCGUUAUGUCAGCUGUGAAAGCCCUUGGCUCAACUGAGGAAGUGCAUCUGAAACUGGCGAGCUAGAGUAUGUAAGAGGGUCGCGGAAUUCCCGGUGUAGAGGUGAAAUUCGUAGAUAUCGGGAGGAACACCGGUGGCGAAGGCGGCGACCUGGGACAAUACUGACGCUGAGGUGCGAAAGCGUGGGGAGCAAACAGG
rnacentral:rRNA from 1 species